UACGGAGGGUGCGAGCGUUAAUCGGAAUUACUGGGCGUAAAGCGCACGCAGGCGGUUUGUUAAGCUAGAUGUGAAAGCCCCGGGCUCAACCUGGGAUGGUCAUUUAGAACUGGCAGACUAGAGUCUUGGAGAGGGGAGUGGAAUUCCAGGUGUAGCGGUGAAAUGCGUAGAUAUCUGGAGGAACAUCAGUGGCGAAGGCAACUCCCUGGCCAAAGACUGACGCUCAUGUGCGAAAGUGUGGGUAGCGAACAGG
rnacentral:rRNA from 1 species